rnacentral:lncRNA from 12 species
AUGAAGCCAACAGGAAACGCUGGAGACUGGCCAUCCCCAUCGAUUUCUGAUUGUUGGAGUGGGAGGCUGAACCCGGAAAUAGAGAAACUAAAACACUACCAAGUUGUGAGAAAGAGAAACAGAGGGAAAAAGUGGGAAAGGAAGCCUUGCCCUGUGGUUUGGCCUGUUCCCAGUCUCCCAAAAUCCUUACCAUAGUCUCUCUGGAAAGUGGGGAGAGAAUGUACAAGGGAUGACUUUUUUCCACAUGGAGACCAGGAACCUGAAUCAGCAAAGGUAAGCGAACUGCCAGAGGUCAAAGAGCAAGUAUAUGGUGGAAAAGAAAUCAGAGAGAUGAAGGCCUGGGAAAAAAAGGGGAAAAUGUAAUGGGAUAAUGAAUUUUUUUUCCCUUCUAAGAAUUUUUAGUUACUAAUGUUUUUGUAAGUGAUGA